GACGACCGCUGGCGGCGUGCCUAAUACAUGCAAGUAGAACGCAGUUGCGAACGGGUGAGUAACGCGUAGGUAACUGCCUCAUAUCGGGGGAUAACUAUUGGAAACGAUAGCUACUCCCGCCUACUGUGUGGUGGCACUGCGUUGUAUUAGCUAGUUGGUGAGGUAAAGGCUCACCAAGGCGACGAUACAUAGCCGACCUGAGAGGGUGAUUGGCCACACUGGCACGGAUACACGGCCCAGACUCCCACGGGAGGCAGCAGUAGGGAAUCUUCGGCAAGGUACGGAAGCUUGGCCGAGCAACGCCGCUUGAGUGAAGAAGGUGUUCGGAUCGUAAAGCUCUUUUGGUAGAGAAGCGGUAACUAACCAGAAAGGGACGGCUAACUACGAGCCAGCAGCCGCGGUAAUUC
rnacentral:rRNA from 1 species